rnacentral:rRNA from 1 species
GAUGAACGCUGGCGGCGUGCCUAAUACAUGCAAGUCGAGCGAACGGACGAGAAGCUUGCUUCUCUGAUGUUAGCGGCGGACGGGUGAGUAACACGUGGAUAACCUACCUAUAAGACUGGGAUAACUUCGGGAAACCGGAGCUAAUACCGGAUAAUAUUUUGAACCGCAUGGUUCAAAAGUGAAAGACGGUCUUGCUGUCACUUAUAGAUGGAUCCGCGCUGCAUUAGCUAGUUGGUAAGGUAACGGCUUACCAAGGCAACGAUGCAUAGCCGACCUGAGAGGGUGAUCGGCCACACGGGAACUGAGACACGGUCCAGACUCCUACGGGAGGCAGCAGUAGGGAAUCUGCCGCAAUGGGCGAAAGCCUGACGGAGCAACGCCGCGUGAGUGAUGAAGGUCUGCGGAUCGUAAAACUCUGUUAUUAGGGAAGAACAUAUGUGUAAGUAACUGUGCACAUCUUGACGGUACCUAAUCAGAAAGCCACGGCUAACUACGG